CGGGCUAUGGCGCAGCCUGGUAGCGCGCUUGUCUGGGGGACAAGAGGUCGUGGGUUCGAAUCCCGCUAGCCCGA
rnacentral:tRNA from 1 species